rnacentral:rRNA from 1 species
CAGCCGCCGCGGUAAUACGUAGGUGGCGAGCGUUGUCCGGAAUCAUUGGGCGUAAAGCGCGCGCAGGCGGAUAGGUCAGUCUGUCUUAAAAGUUCGGGGCUUAACCCCGUGAUGGGAUAGAAACUGCCAAUCUAGAGUAUCGGAGAGGAAAGUGGAAUUCCUAGUGUAGCGGUGAAAUGCGUAGAUAUUAGGAAGAACACCAGUGGCGAAGGCGACUUUCUGGACGAAAACUGACGCUGAGGCGCGAAAGCCAGGGGAGCGAACGGGAUUAGAUACCCCUGUAGUCCCUGUCUCUUAUACA